rnacentral:lncRNA from 1 species
UAGAUAGCAGGCCAUGCAUUUCCUACCAGCUUUGGUUUCCAUAUCACCUGCUAGCAGGAUUUGUGCUUCCUCAUCUCUCUGCUCCUAACAAUGCUGAUACCUGGACACCCUCCCAAACAUGAUCUGACUAUGGCCAAGCUCCCCAGUCUCUGAGAAAGCUACGAAAGAAAGGGCUCUCUCGCCAGCCUGCUCCUGUCAUGUUCAAUGAUGAUCCAGCUGUAAGACAAGAUGGUGUCAGCUGUGUAUAACUUUUUUACGCUGUUUUCCAAAGAGGCCAGAAUUCCAAUUCUGGACAGGGAGGGAUGAGAGCUAACAGAACCUGUAAGCGUUGUGGUGAACCUGCCUCCCAUAUCCUGCGAGAAAGUGAACCCACAAGGAAACGCCCUUUCUGACACUGACUGCUGCUACGGCUACAGCACACGAGGCCAGCUGGCCUGCCGCCUUCCCAGGUUCUUCCAACAGUGG